CUGAACGAUUAAACCUAAUGAACUUUCAACCAACCAGACUGUGGCUGAGUUUCAACUUGGUGAAACUCAUCGGGGAAGUGUGUCGCGAACGACGCACGCUCCGCUCUUGGGGAACGGAUUGAGCCUCCAGACCGACGAGAAUUGAAAAAGAAAGUUUGUUUUUUGAGAACUGGCAACGAUAAGUGUAUGCUUUUAGAACAGUGACGCAGUAGACUAAUGACGCUGUUAGAUAUGUAGAACAAUGAUGCUAAGUAGUUAGAAGUGUUUUUUGAUAGUGUAAUGAUUUAGAUAUUGUUCCUCUUUUGUGUCAAAUGUCAAAUAAAGUGAUUCAUACAAAAGAGUGCCAAUUUUAGAUGAGUUUGGAACCAAAUCGGAGUCUACUAAAGCGGCGGACCAGAAUCGAAGAAAGCGGAUCAUAAAGGACUUUAGAAGCCCCCAUUGAUUCUCUUCCUUUGCAAAAGUCGUCGGAGAAGUCCAUACCCACGACAAGCCAACUAAGAUCUGUAUGUGCAAUAACUCGUCUGUUGGGAUCUGAGACCAAAACUGUUUACAGCUUCGGACUCGAAAAAGAAAUCAUAGAAAUAUUCAUUGAUGGUUACCUGAGAGUGAGAGUAGAAAAUAGCGUCAUUCAAGACGUUUAUCACAGUGACUGGAGUAAUUCUACUUUACCGAAUGAUCUGAAACUCAGUGCAGCGACCGUCAUUGAUGCAAACGGAUGCAAGAUCAAAACAACACGAGUUUGUGACGGCCAGAAGGAUGAGAUAGUUAUUUUCAAAAAUGACUGCGUUUUGUGUAAAGCCAGUAAUAGUACAGUUAUAUGAGGAAACGACAACUUAAUAGUUUAAGGACAUGUUAAAUAAACAAGCUUAUUUUUUAUGUGUGCAAUUAUUUUUGAUUAAGAAAUAAAACUGACACCAUUCAUA